rnacentral:rRNA from 1 species
UCCUACGGGAGGCAGCAGUAGGGAAUCUUCCACAAUGGACGAAAGUCUGAUGGAGCAACGCCGCGUGAGUGAAGAAGGGUUUCGGCUCGUAAAACUCUGUUGUUAGAGAAGAACAGCCGUGAGAGCAACUGCUCACUGGUAUGACGGUAUCUAACCAGAAAGUCACGGCUAACUACGUGCCAGCAGCCGCGGUAAUA